GAAAUGCGAUACGUAAUGUGAAUUGCAGAACUCAGUGAAUCAUCGAAUUUUUGAACGCACCUUGCGCUCUUUAGUUAUUCUGAAGAGCAUGCUUGUUUGAGUGUCGCGAACCUCUCAACCCCGCCAAAGGCUUCAUUGACUUUGGUUGCUUGGGCCUGGAUCAUGGUCUCUUGUCGUUACCUUUUGUUAGGGAUCGACUGGACUGAAAUACAACAAGUUGAAUGAGUUCCAUUUGCAGCUUGACCUGAUGUUGUAAACUACUCAUCGGGGAUGCAAUAAAUUCAAGGAACUUUAACAAAGCCACUUAUAGUACGCAAGUACAAUUUAUGACCUCAAAUCAAGUAGGACUACCCGCUGAACUGAA
rnacentral:misc_RNA from 1 species